rnacentral:rRNA from 1 species
UACGUAGGUGGCAAGCGUUGUCCGGAUUUAUUGGGUUUAAAGGGUGCGUAGGCGGUUCUUUAAGUCAGUGCUGAAAUACUCUAGCUUAACUAGAGGGGUGGCAUUGAUACUGGAGAACUUGAGUGAAGUCGAGGUAGGCGGAAUUGACGGUGUAGCGGUGAAAUGCUUAGAUAUCGUCAAGAACACCGAUAGUGAAGACAGCUUACUAGGCUUAGACUGACGCUGAGGCACGAAAGUGUGGGGAUCAAACAGG